rnacentral:rRNA from 1 species
ACGAACGCUGGCGGCGUGCUUAACACAUGCAAGUCGAACGGAAAGGCCCUGCUUGCAGGGUACUCGAGUGGCGAACGGGUGAGUAACACGUGGGUGAUCUGCCCUGCACUUCGGGAUAAGCCUGGGAAACUGGGUCUAAUACCGGAUAGGAGCCAUUUUUAGUGUGAUGGUUGGAAAGUUUUUUCGGUGUAGGAUGAGCUCGCGGCCUAUCAGCUUGUUGGUGGGGUAAUGGCCUACCAAGGCGGCGACGGGUAGCCGGCCUGAGAGGGUGGACGGCCACAUUGGGACUGAGAUACGGCCCAGACGCCUACGGGAGGCAGCAGUGGGGAAUAUUGCACAAUGGGCGCAAGCCUGAUGCAGCGACGCCGCGUGGGGGAUGACGGCCUUCGGGUUGGAAACUCCUUUCGCUAGGGACGAAGCUUUUUGUGACGGUACCUAGAUAAGAAGCACCGGCUAACUACGUG